rnacentral:rRNA from 1 species
AAAGCGUGCGCAGGCGGUUAUAUAAGACAGAUGUGAAAUCCCCGGGCUCAACCUGGGAACUGCAUUUGUGACUGUAUAGCUGGAGUGCGGCAGAGGGGGAUGGAAUUCCGCGUGUAGCAGUGAAAUGCGUAGAUAUGCGGAGGAAUACCGAUGGCGAAGGCAAUCCCCUGGGCCUGCACUGACGCUCAUGCACGAAAGCGUGGGGAGCAAACAGGAUUAGAUACCCUUGU